UUAACCCCGCCUGAACUUUAAGGCAAUAUCAAUAAGGCGGAGGAAAAAGAAAACCAAACAGGGAAUUGCCCCUAGUAACGGCGAGGUGAAGCGGGCAACAGCUCAAAUUUGAAAUCUUGGCUUUCGGCCCGAGUUGUAAUUUGUAGAGGAUGCUUUUGGCGCGGCACCUUCUCAGUCCCCUGGAACGGGGCGCCAUAGAGGGUGAGAGCCCCGUAUAGUUGGAUGCCUAGCCUGUGUAAAGCUCCUUUGACGAGUCGAGUAGUUUGGGAAUGCUGCUCAAAAUGGGAGGUAAAUUUCUUCUAAAGCUAAAUACCGGCCAGAGACCGAUAGCGCACAAGUAGAGUGAUCGAAAGAUGAAAAGCACUUUGAAAAGAGGGUUAAAUAGCACGUGAAAUUGUUGAAAGGGAAGCGCUUGUGACCAGACUUGCGCCGGGCUGAUCAUCCGGUGUUCUCACCGGUGCACUCUGCCCGGCUCAGGCCAGCAUCGGUUCUCGCGGGGGGAUAAAGGCCACGGGUAACGUAGCUCCUCCGGGAGUGUUAUAGCCCGGGGCGUAAUACCCUCGUCGGGGACACGAGGACCGCGUCUCUGUCAA
rnacentral:rRNA from 1 species